UACGGAGGAUGCGAGCGUCAUCCGGAUUUAUUGGGUUUAAAGGGUGCGUAGGCGGAGUGCCAAGUCAGCGGUAAAAAUUCGGGGCUCAACCCCGUCGUGCCGUUGAAACUGGCGCCCUUGAGUGGGCGAGAAGUAUGCGGAAUGCGUGGUGUAGCGGUGAAUUGCAUAGAUAUCACGCAGAACCCCGAUUGCGAAGGCAGCAUACCGGCGCCCGACUGACGCUGAAGCACGAAAGCGUGGGUAUCGAACAGG
rnacentral:rRNA from 1 species